rnacentral:rRNA from 1 species
GAAGGCUGAAAUUCGCCUUCAUGAAGCCGGAAUUGCUAGUAAUGGCAGGUCAGCAUACUGCCGUGAAUACGUUCCCGGGCCUUGUACACACCGCCCGUCACACCACGAGAGUUGGGAAUACCCGAAGCCUGUGAGCUAACGAAAGAGGCAGCAGUCGAAGGUAGAAUCAAUGAUUGGGGUGAAGUCGUAACAAGGUAGC